UACAGAGGGGGCAAGCGUUGUUCGGAAUUACUGGGCGUAGAGGGCGCGUAGGCGGCCUGUUAAGUCGAACGUGAAAUCCCCGGGCUCAACCCGGGAACUGCGUCCGAUACUGGCAGGCUUGAAUCCGGGAGAGGGAUGCGGAAUUCCAGGUGUAGCGGUGAAAUGCGUAGAUAUCUGGAGGAACACCGGUGGCGAAGGCGGCAUCCUGGACCGGCAUUGACGCUGAGGCGCGAAAGCGUGGGGAGCGAACGGG
rnacentral:rRNA from 1 species